rnacentral:misc_RNA from 1 species
UCCUGCUUAUCACAGGCAGUUUCCUUAGAGUUCCCAACUAAAUGAUGGCAACUAAGGACGAGGGUUGCGCUCGUUGCGGGACUUAACCCAACAUCUCACGACACGAGCUGACGACAGCCAUGCAGCACCUGUGUUCCUCCCACCCGAAGUGAAAGAAUCCAUCUCUGGAUCCUAAAGAGGACAUGUCAAGGCCUGGUAAGGUUCUUCGCGUUGCCUCGAAUUAAACCACAUGCUCCACCGCUUGUGCGGGUCCCCGUCAAUUUCUUUGAGUUUUAACCUUGCGGCCGUACUCCCCAGGCGGAAUGCUUAAUGCGUUAGCUUCGUCACUGAAACCGUAGGUCCCAACAACUAGCAUUCAUCGUUUACAGCGUGGACUAC